AUGUAUUGGAUUGUAUAUCCAGUGGGGGAUGUCAGGAAAACGCCUGCCCCCAGACCAGCCCGCAUCUUAGAGCCGUCAAAGUGCAUGAUACAAUUGGAGUACGCGCCGUACUCUUUAGGGAGUUCAGCUUCUGUCCAUUCAGCGACGAAGUCAGACAGUACUUGUGACUUAAUGGCUUGCCGUGGUUUAUAUGUUAUGUCGAAUGGGAGGAGCACGAUAGCCCAUUUAGCAAUCCGGCCCUCGCGGUUAUUUAUUAUAUCGUUAAGGGAUACUUCAGAGGCCACCGUGAUUGAACACUCUUGA
rnacentral:rRNA from 1 species